AAAAAUUACAUAUUAGCAAAAUUAAAAUAGGCAAUAUUAAAAAUAAUCUGACCCAAAAUAGGAAGAGAAAAACACAGUUGAUGGCCGAGAAUACCAUGACCGGCAUAAUCUGUAACCAACUUUAACUUCAAUACAUCUAAAAUGAAAGCUUUUUUGCUUUCAGAUCUCGAUGGAUGACAUCCCAUGGCAGGUUUUCAUUAACUUGUCUGUUAAUACUUCAUUUGCUUCGAUUCCUCCUCCAAAAAAAUACAUUUACCUAGAUUAAAAUGUGGUUGUGGUGGUGGGAGCCUAGAUAUGAUAAAGAGGAGGAACUAACAGGUGAUAAAGGUAAAGUUUGAUAAAGAAAAAGGCAAUGAUGGUAGUUAUCCGACUUGAAGAAGGAGGAGACAGUGGUGGUGAUGAUAUGGUAGCAACGCCGAAUCUGAAGACGAAAAAGAUAGUUGUGAUGUUAGUGGUCCAGAUCUGAAAAAAGAAAGUAAGUGGUGGAGAUGGCCAGAGAAGAAGAAAAUAGGUUGAAAAUUGUUUAGAAAAAGGUAACUGUCGGAGAUUACUUUCCCGGCAAAAAACUAUGCAUUUUCUGGUGAACAAUAUACAAUAUUAGCUUUU
rnacentral:lncRNA from 1 species